rnacentral:tRNA from 1 species
UAUACUAUAGUUUAUUAACCCUAAAAACACCGAAUUGCAACAUCGGUAAAGAAAACUAAAAUUCUAGUAUAU